UUACCGGUCGGCGACGCUACUGCUUUGGGUACUUUCAGGACCCGUCUUGAAACACGGACCAAGGAGUCUAACAUGUGCGCGAGUCAUUGGGUUAUCGUUAAAAAUUGAUGAAGCCUAAAGGCGCAAUGAAAGUGAAGGUCGUCCCUAGGUCGACCGAGGGAGGAUGGCCCGGGUCCUUUAAUAGCCUCGGGUCCGCACUCCCGGGG
rnacentral:rRNA from 1 species